UUUUCCCCUGCCCCCCCCCCCCCCUCCCCUCGCCCCCCGCCCGCUUACUCCAACCCUGUGACAUACCUUAUGUUGCCUCGGCGGAUCAGCCCGCGCCCCCGUAAAACGGGACGGCCCGCCGCAGGAACCCCAAACUCUGUUUUUAGUGGAACUUCUGAGUAUAAAAAACAAAUAAAUCAAAACUUUCAACAACGGAUCUCUUGGUUCUGGCAUCGAUGAAGAACGCAGCAAAAUGCGAUAAGUAAUGUGAAUUGCAGAAUUCAGUGAAUCAUCGAAUCUUUGAACGCACAUUGCGCCCGCCAGUAUUCUGGCGGGCAUGCCUGUUCGAGCGUCAUUUCAACCCUCAAGCCCAGCUUGGUGUUGGGAGCUGCGUCCGCGCACUCCCCAAAUACAUUGGCGGUCACGUCGAGCUUCCAUAGCGUAGUAAUUUACACAUCGUUACUGGUAAUCGUCGCGGCCACGCCGUUAAACCCCAACUUCUGAAUGUUGACCUCGGAUCAGGUAGGAAUACCCGCUGAACUUAAGCAUAUCAAUAAGCGGAGGAA
rnacentral:rRNA from 1 species